rnacentral:lncRNA from 1 species
GCCUCCAGCCGUCGAGUUUCUCCUUCAGCUCCAUCUUACCAAAAAGGAGUUGUGCAGACGCGGAGUUGAGGGUGUUCCGCUGCCGCAGCCGUGUGAGCUCCGGCUGCUCGUCCGCGGGGAGACACUGCCACCUCCUGACACUGCCACCUCCUGACACUGCCACCUCCCAACGCUGCCACCUCCCAACGCUGCCACCUCCCAACGCUGCCACCUCCCGACGCUGCCACCUCCCGACGCUGCCACCUCCCGACGCUGCCACCUCCCAACGCCGGGCUCCGCACGAUGGAGCGCUCCGCGCCCGCAUCCCCCGGGGAUGCUGCGGGGAAAGCAGCGCGGGAUGAGGUGCGUGGGGAGCCGGGGCUGGUUGAUCCAUGUUCUGUUUUCAGAAGUUUUUGGUUUUGGUUUUGGAGAGCCGUCGGCAGACGGCGGCAGGAGGCUCCGGGCCGCGGGGUAGGAGCGGCGCGGUGCAGUGGGACGGAGGUGGCACAGCGAGGGGCGAUUGCUCAGAGAAGUGAGGAGAGAAUCCUGUUGCAACACUCCACUGGUCCCAGUUGUCUGUCAUUUCAUCUAAAAGGGAGGUGUCCUGUUCUUCCCUCCCAAACUUUGAAGACUGAUCUCUGAAUAAAGGACAGCUGAAUUAGAUCAGGUCUACAUGGUGUGAAGAGGGUUACUGAGUUUUCAUGUUGACGAAUCUCAGUUGUGUGUAUAUGGUCAACCCCUGGACUGGAUGAAUUAAAGAUCCCUGAUGAUCUUAACCACCCAGAAACUUUGCCACCCUCAAAAUGCUCCUUUCUUACUGGGAACCUGGAGGAUGGUGAGUCACACAGUGUCUUCUCCAGCUUGUAUUCAUUCUGAAAUGCAAACACAGACUUUGGCUUGCCCUGGUGACUGCACUGUCUGCAGACAUCUAGUUAACUACCAAGAAGACAUGCAGAGUUGCAGGGCUGUGACAACAGUGGAGAUACAAGCAGUGGUGUUACAAGAUCAUCAAGAACUCCUGGAAGUUAAAGCUUUGUAGCUGACUGCUGGUCACACAUGCCCCUCUAUUGCCUGUUUCAGUCAGGAGGAGUAGCAGGAACAUUUGUGGUUUCGUUGCCUAAAGACAAAAAACUCUUUGUGAAAAUAUAAAAUCUGGAAACAAACUAGCUAGUGAGGUCCUAAAAUAUUGGCUGCAAAUCAAACACAAGAAAGGUAUUGGUGAAGGCCAUGUCACACACAGAGGAACACAGUGAUACUCAGCUUUGGAACUUUGCUUGGUCUGUGGAAACAAAUCAAGCUUCAUUUAGACAAAAUAUAUGCACAACUAGACAGAGUUCUGCUUUGUUUUUUUUAUCUUAAAUGUAAGCAUUGAUGUAAGAGGGCAUUGAUGACUAAAUGAAACUGUACUUUUGCUUUUUUGUACAAAACUACUGUAUUUUCCUAACACCUAUCCCAACCACAUUACUCGGCAACAGCCCUUACAAAGAGUGUCUCCUCUUAAAAAUAAAAAAGGAUCUAAUAAUAUUCGUAUGGUCA